GACGAACGCUGGCGGCGUUCUUAACACAUGCAAGUCGAACGGAGUGGCGAACGGGUGAGUAACACGUGGGUGACCUGCCCUGCACUUCGGGCUAAGCCUGGGAAACUGGGUCUACUACCGGUUAGUGUGGGAUGGGCACGCGGCCUAUCAGCUUGUUGGUGGGGUAAUGGCCUACCAAGGCGGCGACAGGUAGCCGGCCUGAGAGGGUGGACGGCCACGUUGGGACUGAGACACCGCCAAGACUCCGACGGGAGGCAGCAGUGGGGAAUAUUGCACAAUGGGCGGAAGCCGGAUGCAGCGACGCCGCGUGGGGGAUGACGGCCUGCGGGUUGUAAACCCCUUUCACCAUCGACGCGGUAGAUGGAGAAGAAGCACCGGCUAACUACGUGCCAGCAGCCGCGGUAAUUC
rnacentral:rRNA from 1 species